CCAUUUUAUCUGAGUUUCUCAACGAAUGUUCAUUUAAUACCUACUGCUGUGUUUUCAUAUCCUAUUGGCUUUCACAAAGCUGGUUUAGAUUAGGUAUAGUUUCUGUACUUUUCAUGUUCUAAUUUUGUUUUUUAGGGUUAGAUUGAACUAGCAUGCAUAAUCACACUAUUAAAGGUGCAUGAAAAAUGUAUAAGUGAUUUUUGCUUUCUUUUUCCCUUCUUUCCAUCCUCCCUUCUUAGCAUGAACCCUAUUAUCUGUAGUUUUAUUUAUCCAAAUAUCUGCAGCUCAAAUCAGGCACUUAAUGGCAGCACCUUUGGUUCAAUCUCCAGAAAAUUUGAACCCGAUAAUAAUGAUAGAAUAAUAGAUACAAAAAGGGAGUUUUAGCAUCAAAACUCAUACAAUAAUAUAUUUAUUUUUAAAAAGAUAGGCUCAGUCUAUGAAUUCUGAUCAUGAUGCUUAUUAUCAAAGACAUUUAGUAAAUGAUGAUCUGAUCUCAAUAUAAUUAUAGGCAUCAUGCAUCAGAAAAGCCAUGGUAAAAAGCCUUUACAAAUAUAGUCAAAGAAGUCAAAAAAGCAUAAGAAAAAAAGCAAGAAGAGGAGACAUAAAUCUGACUCUCCAGAGUCAGAUGCUGAGCGAGAGAAGGAUAUAAAAGAAAAAGACCGAGAAAGUGAAAAAGAUAGAACUAGACAAAGAUCAGAAUCAAAACACAAAUCACCUAAGAAAAAGACUGGAAAGGAUUCUGGGAAUUGGGAUACUUCUGGCAGUGAACUGAUUGAAGGGGAAUUGGAAAAGCACAGAAGGACCCUUUUGGAGCAACUGGAUGAUGAUCAAUAAAUUAUACCAAAUAUAUGUUUACAGUAUGAUUUAAAGUCUAAUUCAGACCAGGGACUCUAUUUUAAAGUUCAAUUGAAAUAAAACACUGGGUUUUAAUUAUAUCAUAGGAAACAAAAAAAGUGCAUUUAAGUAUUGUUAUUUGGACUUUAUAAAAGCAAAGGAAAUUGAAAAUAACUUUUGAUUCUGUAUCAAGAAUCAUAUUUUCAUAUGGUCAUAACUGUCUUUCUGUGACCCUUUCAUAGGGCACUGCAGGAUGGAUUAAAGGUGGCAAUUUACUGAAAAAAAAAAAAGUAAAUAUUGUAAGGUAUUUAGUCAGUUGCUAUAUUUUGAAAUUGCAUGAAAUGCAUUUUAAUCAUAUAGGUCAAAGGCUAGAAACAAUCUCUCAUAUAAGGAAAAACCAAAAGCUGUGAUGAUGGAGAGGUUAGGCCACAUUCAUUAGGUGCUGAAGGAAAAGUACUUACACUUUUGCAACCUAAAGAGUAUGAAAAAGUGAAAAAUUAAGACUAUGUUCAAAUUACCAUAAGUAAACUUGAAAUCUAGUAAUUGAGAUUUGAGUCCUGAUAUGCUUGAAGCCAGACAUGCAUCCAGCUGGAUUUAUCAUCCUUCAAGAGAAGAUUUUUUUCAAAAGAACAACUGAGAUUUCCA
rnacentral:lncRNA from 1 species